AGUUCGAAAAUCUCUUGUACCUCAGGACGCGUUAUGGCGGCAACUUCUACCUGUCUAUAGUCUGUCUGUCUGUCUGUGGUCUCUAUUACUAUUAGCAUCACCUAUGUGUCCAUUAUAAACCAGUUCUGCCGACUGCAGCAUGAAAACAGAGAGAAGGGGGUUACAGAGUAGCCUGCAGUGAUUGGAUAAAAAGACCCAGCACAGCCCAGCAGACGCAGGGAGGAAGAUGAGUCAUGCAAAUUGAGGACACCCCUCCCUCCAGAGCACAGAAUGACUAACCAAGUGAGCAACAGAUAGAAGGUACGCUUUAAAUACUAGAAAUAGAUUCUCCAUUUUACACCCAUUAUGUUCUUUAUUAAAAGUCCAACCUUGGUCACCAAUAGAGCUCCACCCCGGAUGAGCCUUCAGUUACAUUAAAGAAAAAAUAAGAGACAGUUUCAAUAUAAAAAUGAGAUUUAUUAUGCAAGUCAUUGGACGCCUUUUUUAUGGUCUGUGUGCAGUAUGUACUGAUUCUGCCAGAGCAGCGUAAAACUUCUUUUCGGAUAGCAUUGUAUAGGCGAGGAUGACAAGUUACUGUUCUUAGCAUCAAGUAGACCUGUCACACAUAAUCUACAGAAUAAAAGCAGAAACCUUAUAGACGGAGACAAUUUUCAAAUGAUCUAUUCAUUGAAGUCAAUUGCUGAUACAUUGAUGCACCAAUUUUUCUCUAUAGUGGACUUCUUGAACAGGUCACAAUAUGGCCGCCUCCACUGUAUACAGGAGAAGAAUAUACGAUGGGAAAAACAGUGCAGCAUUCAAGUCUAUUCUUCCUGUCAAAACAACAAACUAAUGGACCCCGCCAUGAGUCCACCCUAUGACAAAUCCACCAAAGCUUAAAUUCUGUAUUUCGGCUCCAAAGAUGGAACAGAAAAUAAAAUUCACAAUUCGGAAGUGAACUCUACAGGUCAAAAGUGACAGUGAAAGACAAACUCUGUAGGUGACUGUGAAGGGUCAUGUUUUAGUUAAUUUUUUUGUUACCCAUGCAUUGGCUUAGCAUGCCAUCUAUAGAACUAUCCCAGGCAAUUCAAUUGGUGUUACCUAUAUAAACAGAGGUUACUACAAUGACAACUAGACCAUCUGUAACACUGCAGCAAGAAAUUCAUACAAUCUCAUUGCUUUUGGGUGCCUUUGUUUCACUAUAAAAAUAAGCAAAAAACUCCAUCAGAUAUUAUGCAUGGGAACAUGGUUAGAAAACAUGCCUCAGAAUAUUUCGAUUGUAAUACGAUAUUUAUUAACACUCCCGCAGCUAUGUCCAUAUCUUACUUAUAUGUGCUCUAUAAACUGCUAUUGACCAUACACCCGAUAUCUUUACUACCUCAUCCCAUUUGUACCACUAGAAACAACCGUCUAGCAACAAAACAAAUAAAUCAAUAUUGAAAUAUACAAUGAGCUAAACACACAUGAAUAAAAUUGCAAUAAAAAAUUUUUUCAAGACAAAAUCGAGUAGUCAUAUUUAAAGGGGUAUUCCAGGAAAAAAAACUUUUUUUAAUAUAUCAACUGGCUCCAGAAAGUUAAACAGAUUUUUAAAUUACUUCUAUAGAAAAAUCUUAAUCCUUACAAUGAUUAUCAGCUGCUGAAGUUGAGUUUUUUUCUGACUGGCAACAAUGCUCUUUGCUGACAUCUCUGCUUGUCUCGGGAACUGCACAGAGUAGAAGAGGUUUGCUAUGGGGAUUUGCUUCUAAACUGGGCGGUUCCCGAGACGUGUCAUCAGAGAACACUUAGACAGAAAAGAACAACUCAACUUCAGAAGCUCAUAAGUACUGAAAGGAUGAAGAUUUUUUUUUAUAGAAGUAAUUUACAAAUCUGUUUAACUUUCUGGAG